AGCUGGGUCUUGCGCAAUGGAUGGCCGUAAACCCCGCCAGGUCCGGAAGGAAGCAACGGUAGCAGCUUCAUCCAUGUGCCGCAAGGGUGCCUAGCUAUC
rnacentral:SRP_RNA from 4 species